UACGUAGGGGGCAAGCGUUGUCCGGAAUCAUUGGGCGUAAAGAGCGCGUAGGCGGCCAGAUAAGUCCGGUGUGAAAGUCACAGGCUCAACCUGUGAAUGCCGCUGGAAACUGUCUGGCUAGAGUCCGGAAGGGGCGAGUGGAAUUCCUGGUGUAGCGGUGAAAUGCGCAGAUAUCAGGAGGAACACCAAUGGCGAAGGCAGCUCGCUGGAACGGUACUGACGCUGAGGCACGAAAGCUAGGGUAGCAAACGGG
rnacentral:rRNA from 1 species